rnacentral:rRNA from 1 species
UGGGCGUAAAGCGAGCGCAGACGGUUACUUAAGCAGGAUGUGAAAUCCCCGGGCUCAACCUGGGAACUGCGUUCUGAACUGGGUAGCUAGAGUAUGUCAGAGGGGGGUAGAAUUCCACGUGUAGCAGUGAAAUGCGUAGAGAUGUGGAGGAAUACCGAUGGCGAAGGCAGCCCCCUGGGAUAAUACUGACGUUCAUGCUCGAAAGCGUGGGUAGCAAACAGGAUUAGAUACCCUGGUAGUCCACGCUGUAAACGAUGUCGAUUUGGGGAUUGGGCUUUAAGCUUGGUGCCCGUAGCUAACGUGAUAAAUCGACCGCCUGGGGAGUACGGCCGCAAGGUUAAAACUCAAAUGAAUUGACGGGGGCCCGCACAAGCGGUGGAGCAUGUGGUUUAAUUCGAUGCAACGCGAAGAACCUUACCUACUCUUGACAUCCAUGGAAUCUUGUAGAGAUACGAGAGUGCCUUCGGGAACCAUGAGACAGGUGCUGCAUGGCUGUCGUCAGCUCGUGUCGUGAGAAG